CAAUAAGCGGAGGAAAAGAAACCAACAGGGAUUGCCCCAGUAACGGCGAGUGAAGCGGCAACAGCUCAAAUUUGAAAUCUGGCCCCCCGGGUCCGAGUUGUAAUUUGCAGAGGAUGCUCUUGGCGAGGCACCGUCCGAGUUCCUGGAACGGGACGCCAUAGAGGGUGAGAGCCCCGUAUGGACGACUGCCGAGCCGCUGUAGAGCUCCUUCGACGAGUCGAGUAGUUUGGGAAUGCUGCUCUAAACGGGAGGUAAAUCUCUUCUAAAGCUAAAUACUGGCCACAGACCGAUAGCGCACAAGUAGAGUGAUCGAAAGAUGAAAAGCACUUUGAAAAGAGAGUUAAACAGCACGUGAAAUUGUUGAAAGGGAAG
rnacentral:rRNA from 1 species